ACGCUCGAACACCUACGGAAGGCAGCAGUGGGGAAUAUUGCACAAUGGGGGAAACCCUGAUGCAGCAACGCCGCGUGAAGGAAGACGGUUUUCGGAUUGUAAACUUCUGUUCUUAGUGAAGAUAGUGACGGUAGCUAAGGAGCAAGCCACGGCUAACUACGUGCCAACAGCCGCGGUAAUCUGAGCGGGCUGGCAAGGC
rnacentral:rRNA from 1 species